ACGUUGUAGUUAUCUCCUCUGAUGGAAAACGAUAUAGAGAAAUAUUGACCGCAAGUGAUGGUCUUAAAAAUCCUACGUCACUUCAUUAUAGUGGAACAACGAAUCAGUUGCUAGUCGCGAACUACAUGAAUAGCAAAGCUUUUUUGUUAAAUUGUACUUGAAGAAAAAAUAACAGUGUGAAGUGCUGUCUCUUUGGAUCAUUAUAUG
rnacentral:lncRNA from 1 species